rnacentral:lncRNA from 1 species
AUGGCUGCCCUGGAAUUUGGUAAACUCACAUCCUUUGAGGCAAGCAGGCAUCAGAUAAGCAUCUCAUCUACCUCCAAGAUGAGAUCAGUAGUUGACAAAGGCAAAAAAUGAAGAGUGAUAAAAAGUCAUGAGAAAAAUCUACAGUACCACUAACAGAAUAGAAAGACAGGUUUUGAAAUAGGUGUGUUGUCAUCGAACUGUUACUUCAGAGCAGUACUCCUUCUUUCUCCUCAUUCACAACAAUGAACCAAGGAACGUUUGCUUUGAUGAAAAGAAUAGCUCUUAAAAAUCAAAAUGUUUUAUCCAAAAAUGAAACAAAAACAUCAUUGAUGUAACUAAUGAACGAAUGCAGUCAAGAA